UAUAAAAGAAGCUGUAAGAUCCUUGCUCGGGGCCUCUUAGCGUCACCGGCAACGAGUGCGCAGGGGACCAGGUUUGAACCUGCAAUAAAGGACCCUUGCCGCUUGGCUUUGACUCUGGACUCUGGUGGAAUCGUUAUUGGAUUAAAUGAGAAAACACGUUUUCUGGAGCCUGUGCCUGGCCUGUGCUCAGCACUCAGCGAAGGUUAGCAUUGUCCUCUUCCAGCAAAUGAGAAAGAAAUAAGAUUACCAUCAUUACUACUGAGUGAUUCUCCCUGCCUUCCAUCAAUGAACUCAUACUGGGAAUGUGGGGGAGAACUCAGUGAGCUUUUAAUUAAAAAAUACCGAGCACUAUCUCAAUACAAUAGAAUUGGAAGAAACUAAAGUUGGGGAUUUCCCAAUGAUUUUAUUGAGUGUAGUUCUGAAGUGAAACUGUGAGACCAAAACCGAGAAGAAACUUUGCUUCAUCUGAAAUUUCUCCUGAACAGAAGAGGGACCUGCCAAGUGACUAUGCCCGCUCGAACUGCCAAGGCUGCCAGACAACCUCCUCC